rnacentral:rRNA from 1 species
UGAGGAAUAUUGGUCAAUGGUCGGGAGACUGAACCAGCCAAGCCGCGUGAGGGAUGAAGGUACAGAGUAUCGUAAACCUCUUUUGUCAGGGAACAAAAGGCGCCACGCGUGGCGCUCCGAGUGUACCUGAAGAAAAAGCAUCGGCUAACUCCGUGCCAGCAGCCGCGGUAAUACGGAGGAUGCGAGCGUUAUCCGGAUUUAUUGGGUUUAAAGGGUGCGUAGGCGGCGAGUUAAGUCAGCGGUAAAAGCCCGGGGCUCAACCCCGGCCCGCCGUUGAAACUGGCUUGCUUGAGUUGGAGAGAAGUAGGCGGAAUGCGCGGUGUAGCGGUGAAAUGCUUAGAUAUCGCGCAGAACUCCGAUUGCGAAGGCAGCCUACCGGCUCCAGACUGACGCUGAGGCACGAAAGCGUGGGGAGCGAACAGGAUUAGAUACC